AGCCCACCAAUACGCCUCUCCUCUGUUUCCUCUCGUUGCUAGGUUCCAUCAGGGAAGAAAUCGCGCCGCCGUCUCCCCCGCGACCGAUCCAGUCCGCCGCCGCCGGCCCCGCUCCCUCCGCGACCGAGCUCUAGUCCUCCGCCUCCGGCCCCGCUCCUGCUGUCGCCGGCCUCCGGACGCCGCCCCUGCUCUCGCCGGCCGCCGGACGACGCCCUGCUUCCGCUCCGUCCACCUCGACCUCCUCACCAGCCAGCACCUCAACCGAGCUCGAUGGAUAUUUCAAAUAAAGAACAAGAACAAGAGGAAUUUGAAUCGGUCAUGGUAGCAUUAGCUUUGGAUGUGAUGUUGUCAGAGGAGAGACCGACGUAUGCACGAAGAAAAUUACACCUUUCGCCAGGUCCUGAAGAAAAAGAGACCGCUGAUUUGACAAAAUUACACCUUGUGUCAGGCCUCCAAGAAAAACAGAUCGUCGGAUCAAAGAGACAUGAGAUACAUGACAUGGUGGCCAUGGUCAUUGCAGAUGGAGCCAUACCUGGUACUGAUGAGCAUUUCUAUGCUUCACAACUUUUGUUGGAGCAGAAAUAUCGUGAUGUUUUCUCUUCAUUCAAGGGUUUUGCUCCUAGUGUGAGGCUUGGAUGGAUUAAGAGGACAUGGGAACUGAACAAUAGUUAGAAUCUAAGAUGUUUUAAAUCAUUUAAACCAAACUAUUUGCUAUGUAUCGUGUUAACCUCCUAUGUGCUAUGAACUUGUACCAUUGUGAACUAAGUUUAUUUGGUAUGUGUUGUAUGAGCCAUUUAUGUACUUGUACUAUCAUGGUGUUAGCAUCUUGUGUGCUAUGAACUUGUACUAUUUUCUUGUAA